CGCACAUUGCGCCCGCCAGCACUCUGGCGGGCAUGCCUGUCCGAGCGUCAUUUCCACCCUCAGGCCCUAUUGGCCUGGCGUUGGGGCUUCUGUAGGCCAGUUCCUACAGGCCCCCAAGACCAGUGGCGGGCUCGCCUGGAACUCCGAGCGCAGUAGUUUCUCGUCGCUCAGCGGGCUCCAGGCGGGUUUGGCCGUUAAACCCCUUAAAUCUUUAGAAGGUUGACCUCGGAUCAGGUAGGGAUACCCGCUGAACUUAA
rnacentral:misc_RNA from 1 species